rnacentral:tRNA from 1 species
GCAUUGAAAACAGGUCGUUUUCUACUGACUUUUAAUCAGUAGGUCGCUGGUUCGAACCCAGCUGGACUCACCA